rnacentral:misc_RNA from 1 species
CGCACAUUGCACCUCUUGGUAAUCCUUGAGGUAUAUUUGUUCGAGCGCCGUUUAAAUAUUAAGACUUUGUCUUUUGUUGAAAUUUACUACGUAAUUGUAGUUUUUCUAAAUAUUUUGGCGUAUUUUUUUAUGGCAUCAAAAACGCAGUGAAAAUGUGUUUUAUAGUCACAAAAAAAAACUGCCUUGUUACUCCUUUAAAACCAUGGCCUCGGAUCAAAUAGGGAUACCCGCUGAACUUAA